rnacentral:rRNA from 1 species
UACGUAGGGUGCGAGCGUUGUCCGGAAUUAUUGGGCGUAAAGGGCUCGUAGGCGGUUUGUCGCGUCGGGAGUGAAAACUCAGGGCUUAACCCUGAGCCUGCUUCCGAUACGGGCAGACUAGAGGUAUGCAGGGGAGAACGGAACUCCUGGUGUAGCGGUGAAAUGCGCAGAUAUCAGGAGGAACACCGGUGGCGAAGGCGGUUCUCUGGGCAUUACCUGACGCUGAGGAGCGAAAGUGUGGGGAGCGAACAGG